rnacentral:lncRNA from 1 species
AAAUUACAUGCACCAUUUCCGUUAGUGGUUGGUUCCUUUCUCUCCAACGUUCGAAGUUCUCCACAAUUAUUUAUAGCAAGGUUGUAAUGUCACAAUCUUGGAUCGAAACAGGACAAAAACACCUUAUUAAACGAAAGUCGAACAAAUUGAAAGCACAUUUGUCAGACGAGGUUGUAAUGUAAUAAAUAUUUUCAUUGAAAAGUAAAGAUUUUAGAGAGGCAUUCAUUCAAAGAUUCAUAAAAUUAAAAAGCGAAAUUGCAAAUCUAUUUACUUGUAAAACUGAAAUUUCAAGCUGCUCAAAUAACACAGUUCUAGUAAAAGUAGAAAAACAAUUACAACUCAGAAACUUGUCUCCCGGGGGAGAUUGGAUGAUAACUAUUGAUCACCACUCUUUUAGUUAAACUUUUUUAAUAGAUGUGAAAAAGUCUGAUUUUUGUUAAUUAUUAACUCAUGCAUCAUUCAAGUUAGAACUUAAGACCUCAUCUUUAAUAAAUCUGCUAUUUACCACAGGAGCGCAGGACCUCUCUUGACUAGGCACAGAUCUGAUCCGGGCCGAUUUGGAUUUGUAGUACUGGAUCUGAUCCGGGCUGAUUUGGGUUUUGACCCAUUAGCGUUAGGAGGAGCCGUUUGAGUAUCCUUUUGCGAUCUUCAUGGUUAAUUGCUGCAAUCGACGACGACUCCGACCGGUGAGUGACGCGAGAGAAACCAAGUGGUGAGAGGUGGUGGCUGGUCGGUGACGAGUUGCUCAGCCCGUGAGUGACGCGAGAGAAGAAGAGAAGAGAGAGAAACCAACUGUUGAAGUCGGGUACGGGCGGAUCGAAAUACAAAUCAAAAACAACUUUGUUUGCCUUUAUUAUUAAGCUUUUUCACAUCCGUUAGAAAAAGUUUUAACCAAAAAGGGUGGUAAUAAU